rnacentral:rRNA from 1 species
UAGGAAUCUGCCUAUUAGUGGGGGACAACAUCUCGAAAGGGAUGCUAAUACCGCAUACGUCCUACGGGAGAAAGCAGGGGAUCUUCGGACCUUGCGCUAAUAGAUGAGCCUAAGUCGGAUUAGCUAGUUGGUGGGGUAAAGGCCUACCAAGGCGACGAUCUGUAGCGGGUCUGAGAGGAUGAUCCGCCACACUGGGACUGAGACACGGCCCAGACUCCUACGGGAGGCAGCAGUGGGGAAUAUUGGACAAUGGGGGGAACCCUGAUCCAGCCAUGCCGCGUGUGUGAAGAAGGCCUUAUGGUUGUAAAGCACU